UCAGAAGCACGUGCGCCUUACGUAAUUUCCUGUUAUUCUUCGGUUUGCCUCCUCCCAGUGGCGUGGAUUUGCUCCCGACCCGCUUUUGGGGCGUGCCUGCUUCCUCCUCUCUGUUAGGUGAGUGAGUAGGCGUCAUUCUUCACAGUAGUCCUCUGCCUCCACCGCCCCGGGAUCUCCUUGCGCUCGGUCCUCUACGUGGAGUCACCUAUGCAGAGGAAUUCCACGGGGCGGGGGCGAGGACAGGGUGCGGGGGUCUUUAUGGCAGACAAUCCCCGGCUGAGCGCUUGGCCAGAGUUUCUGUGAUGCUAGAAUCUGGACUGCCUGCGACCUCUCCGGGACUCGGACACCAGCCCUCGCCUCCUGGUGAUCUUUUAGGUCCUGCAGAGAAGUGAAGAGGUCUCGCUCUGUCACCCAGGCUGGAGUGAAAUGGCACAAUCUUGGCUCACUGUAACCUCCGCCCCCAGGUUCGACUGAUUCUCGUGCCUCAGCCUCCUCAGUAGCUGGGAUUACAGGAUGGAGAGUAAAGGAGGUAAAGGAGGACUCUGAUGCCUCAGCCAUGCGCCUGUGUGCCGAUUCCCAUUAAGCCUGCACCAAUUUGAUUUCCAAGACUCCAGUCAAUCCUCAGAGCUCCAGGAGGGGAGGGGCAGCUUUUCCUGGUAGCUGCUGAUCACCAGCAGAGGGAGCCCUAGGACUGCAGGGCCUCUUUCCUUACCGUUGGUGAAGCCCUUCACUGUGGCUUCAAAACUGUGGAAGACCCGGGAUUUGUGGAUCACUUGCCUUUAGAAUAGAAUCAAGAAAUAAAGCUGCAGAAGAAAGAAUCUCCAUGUGGAUUUUACACCUGGAACUCCUGGGUGGGAAGGUAUAAACCGUUUAAAGUCUCCGGCAACACACUAAUAAAUUGCUUCAAAGGAAAGUUCUCAACCGUUACUCUCAGCAGUGUGUGUAUUAGGGCCAUCCUCACCACACCCUUUCAGGUAGCGAGGUGAGCCCCAGAGAGGCGAAGCCACUUGAGCUCGUGAGUGACAGUCAGAUGUCAAGCCCUGCUCUUUCUAAAGCGUGCUGCCUUCAGAAAAGAAGAGCCAGAAGGAUGGAAAUUACUUCAGAAAGAUGAAUACCAGCUUUGAAGGAAUAAAAGCUGACGAGGAAUUGAAGGAGUUGAGGCACGAGCUUGAACAGGGUUGCAUGUUUGGCCCUUGAUUGUAAAUGCCCAUUGCUGCACCUGUUCCUGUUACUUGGGGAGUUGCAGCAGAAGGAACAGCGGCCUGGGACUCCAGAGAACUGGGUUCCCUCUCAUCCCUCCAGGGCCACCACUUCUUGUGGGCCCUUGGGCAAGUCACUGUACUUUCUGAGUCUCAGUUUCCCCAUUUGCAGAAUGGAAAUAACUACCCCGGUCUACCAACUUAGAAGAAUUGCUUUGAGGAUCUGAUAAGGUGGUGUGGAUGAUGCUGCCUUGGGGGCUUUACAGUCUGGAGCUCAAGGGACCCCUUAAGUUGGGCUUACUUAGUAACUCCAGGGGUGGGCAGAACAGGACUCCAAUGAGGGUUUUUUUCUUUUUCCCUUUUUUUUCUUUUCCUAUCUCUUAACUUUUAUCUUUAUUAUUUUACAAUGCCCUUGUAAGAUGAAACAAGUGAUGCUGAAAUAUCUUUUUCUUUUUUAACCUUUAUUUUAGAAUUGGGGUACAUGUGCAGGUUUGUUACAUAGGUACAGUGUGGGCUGCUGAGGUUUGGGAGUACGAAUGAAUUAGUCACCCCAGUGGUGAGCAUAGUGCCCGAUAAGUGGUUUUUUCAACCCUUACUCCCAUCCCUCUCCAUUCUUGUGUUCCCCAGUGUCUGCUGUUCCCAUUUUUAUGACCAUGUGUACUCAAUGUUUAGCUCCCACUUAGAAGUAAGAACAUGCCCAGCACUUUGGGAGGCCGAGGUGGGUGGAUCAUGAGGUCAAGAGAUCGAGACCAUCUUGGCUAACAAAGUGAAACCCUGUCUCUACUAAAAACAUAAAAAAUUGGCCGGGUGUGGUGGUGGGCACCUGUAGUCCUAGCUACUCGGGAGGCUGAGACAGGAGAAUCGCCUGAACCGGGGAGGUGGAGGUUGCAGUGAGCUGAGAUUGUACCACUGCACUCCAGCCUGGGUGACAGAGUGAGACUCCAUCUCAAAAAAAUAAAAAUAAAAAAAUAAAAAGAAUGUGGUGUAUGAU
rnacentral:lncRNA from 1 species